CCUACGGGCGGCAGCAGUGGGGAAUAUUGCACAAUGGGCGCAAGCCUGAUGCAGCCAUGCCGCGUGUAUGAAGAAGGCCUUCGGGUUGUAAAGUACUUUCACCGGGGAGGAAGGUGUUGUGGUUAAUAACCGCAGCAAUUGACGUUACACGCAGAAGAAGCACCGGCUAACUCCGUGCCAGCAGCCGCGGUAAUACGGAGGGUGCAAGCGUUAAUCGGAAUUACUGGGCGUAAAGCGCACGCAGGCGGUCUGUCAAGUCGGAUGUGAAAUCCCCGGGCUCAACCUGGGGACUGCAUUCGAAACUGGCAGGCUAGAGUCUUGUAGAGGGGGGUAGAAUUCCAGGUGUAGCGGUGAAAUGCGUAGAGAUCUGGAGGAAUACCGGUGGCGAAGGCGGCCCCCUGGACAAAGACUGACGCUCAGGUGCGAAAGCGUGGGGAGCAAACAGGAUUAGAUACCCGAGUAGUC
rnacentral:rRNA from 1 species